rnacentral:rRNA from 1 species
GUAUUUAUUAGAUAAAAAACCAACGCCCUUCUGGGCUUUUUGGUGAUUCAUGAUAACUUUACGGAUCGCAUACCCUUGCGCUGGCGACGGUUCAUUCACAUUUCUGCCCUAUCAACUUUCGAUGGUAAUGUAUUGGCUUACCAUGGUUUCAACGGGUAACGGGGAAUUAUGGUUCGAUUCCGGAGAGGGAGCCUGACAAACUGCUACCACAUCCAAGGAAGGCAGCAUGCGCGCACAUUACCCAAUCCCGACACGGGGAGGUAGUGACAAUAAAUACUGAUACAGGGCUCUUUUGGGUCUUGUAAUUGGAAUGAGUACAAUUUAAACCUCUUAACGAGGAACAAUUGGAGGGCAAGUCUGGUGCCAUCAGCCGCGGUAAUUCCAGCUCCAAUAGCGUAUAUUAAAGUUGUUGCAGUUAAAAAGCUCGUAGUUGAAACUUGGGCCUGGCUGGCGGGUCCGCCUCACCGCGUGCACUCGUCCGGCCGGGCCUUCCUUCUGAAGAACCUCAUGCCCUUCACUGGGCGUGCUGGAGAACCAGG